rnacentral:rRNA from 1 species
AACGCUGGCGGCGUGCUUAACACAUGCAAGUCGAACGGAAAGGCCCUGCUUUUGUGGGGUGCUCGAGUGGCGAACGGGUGAGUAACACGUGAGUAACCUGCCCUUGACUUUGGGAUAACUUCAGGAAACUGGGGCUAAUACCGGAUAGGAGCUCCUGCUGCAUGGUGGGGGUUGGAAAGUUUCGGCGGUUGGGGAUGGACUCGCGGCUUAUCAGCUUGUUGGUGGGGUAGUGGCUUACCAAGGCUUUGACGGGUAGCCGGCCUGAGAGGGUGACCGGCCACAUUGGGACUGAGAUACGGCCCAGACUCCUACGGGAGGCAGCAGUGGGGAAUAUUGCACAAUGGGCGGAAGCCUGAUGCGGCAACGCCGCGUGCGGGAUGACGGCCUUCGGGUUGUAAACCGCUUUCGCCUGUGACGAAGCGUGAGUGACGGUAAUGGGUAAAGAAGCACCGGCUAACUACGUGCCAGCAGCCGCGGUGAUACGUAGGGUGCGAGCGUUGUCCGGAUUUAUUGGGCGUAAAGGGCUCGUAGGUGGUUGAUCGCGUCGGAAGUGUAAUCUUGGGGCUUAACCCUGAGCGUGCUUUCGAUACGGGUUGACUUGAGGAAGGUAGGGGAGAAUGGAAUUCCUGGUGGAGCGGUGGAAUGCGCAGAUAUCAGGAGGAACACCAGUGGCGAAGGCGGUUCUCUGGGCCUUUCCUGACGCUGAGGAGCGAAAGCGUGGGGAGCGAACAGGCUUAGAUACCCUGGUAGUCCACGCUGUAAACGGUGGGUACUAGGUGUGGGGUCCAUUCCACGGGUUCCGUGCCGUAGCUAGCGCUUUAAGUACCCCGCCUGGGGAGUACGGCCGCAAGGCUAAAACUCAAAGGAAUUGACGGGGCCCCGCACAAGCGGCGGAGCAUGCGGAUUAAUUCGAUGCAACGCGUAGAACCUUACCUGGGUUUGACAUGGAUCGGGAGUGCUCAGAGAUGGGUGUGCCUCUUUUGGGGUCGGUUCACAGGUGGUGCAUGGCUGUCGUCAGCUCGUGUCGUGAGAUGUUGGGUUAAGUCCCGCAACGAGCGCAACCCUUGUUCACUGUUGCCAGCACGUUAUGGUGGGGACUCAGUGGAGACCGCCGGGGUCAACUCGGAGGAAGGUGGGGAUGACGUCAAGUCAUCAUGCCCCUUAUGUCCAGGGCUUCACGCAUGCUACAAUGGCUGGUACAGAGAGUGGCGAGCCUGUGAGGGUGAGCGAAUCUCGGAAAGCCGGUCUCAGUUCGGAUUGGGGUCUGCAACUCGACCUCAUGAAGUCGGAGUCGCUAGUAAUCGCAGAUCAGCAACGCUGCGGUGAAUACGUUCCCGGGGCUUGUACACACCGCCCGUCAAGUCAUGAAAGUUGGUAACACCCGAAGCCGGUGGCCUAACCGUUGUGGGGGAGCCGUCGAAGGUGGGACUGGUGAUUAGG